rnacentral:tRNA from 2 species
GCGGAGUGAAUCACUACUGGAUAUCUUCAGCUUCCCAAGCUGAUAGCGCGGGUUCGAUUCCCGUCAUCCGCU